rfam:Streptomyces albus subsp. albus strain NRRL B-2513 B2513contig82.1, whole genome shotgun sequence.
CUUCAACGAGCCCAGCCACAGCGGCUGCCCCGCGGGCCGCUCCUGGCCGUAGGCGGCCAGCAGCGCCUGCGCCUC